CCCAGGUCCCCAGGGCCGACCUGGGUAGGCGAGCGCCGGGCGCGGCUGGCAUCCCUCCUCCGCGUCGGGUCCGGUCCGCCGGUUGACACGCAGCCUCCUGCGCGCCUCGCUCCGCAGCCCACGUUCCCUGUCCCCUUUUUUCAGACAUUCCCGGCCGACCCGUCCACGGAGCCUCCCGCCGAGUGCGUGGGCGCGGGCGGCGCAGCUCCGCCUCCGGGAAUUUCCCACCCGCUGGAGUGCGGGCCGCACGGGGUGGACGGUACCGACCGCGCUGUCGGUUCGAGGCGCCACGAGCUGCGAGCGCGGGACGGAGGGUGGGCGCUGCCCCUCGCGCCGCCUCGUCCCGCCGUCUAGGCCGGGGUCGCGCGCCCACGGCCUCGGUCGCUCCUAGGACCUCAGGUGCAGCCGGUGAAGGAAGUGAGAGCCUCAGAGGAACCUGCCGAACGACCGUCACUCACCGGAGCCUGUCGGGGAGCCAGCCUGGUCCCCGCGGCCCCGAGAUGAGGUGCGGCUGGGGACCCUGGUCCCUCGCGCUCCCCCUCCUGCUAGCGCAGCUGGCUGUGCCAGGCGAUGGCAACGAGGGCAGCAGAGCUGGAAAUUGUUAUUGUGAUAGAAGAUUUUCUUCUGGCUCUCCAACGGUUAAAGACAUGGAACGUUUCCAAAAACUACUGAAAGCCUAUAAUCGCUGUCCUCACUAUGUCAGGUUCCAACUAAAGUACCGACAACAGUCCUGGAGUGUAUGUGGGGACAGCAAGGACCCGUGGGUGACUGAAUUGAUCAGCUGCUUUGCUAAGAGUGAAUGUGGACAUGCUUACUCUGGAAGAGUGGUCCAGCAGGAGCAUUCACCUCCCCCCAGCACCCAGAUUCCUGAGUCCACUGAAGGGGCACCUGCAGUCACGGACACCCCUGCUCAGACGUACCUGCCACUCACCCUGCAGUCUACCCAGCAGCCUACGCUUCCAGUAGGAACACUUUCCUUGGACAAAAAGCUCAUCCACUCCCAUGAAACCACUACUUCCUCUGUGGGCCACAGUGUAGAGGUUGGGCCUGAAGCUGGGGUGAACCAGAAGCACUUGGAAGAAAAUGUGGGUUCUACAGCUGGGUCACAUGGUGUCAUGGUGCCAGUGCUGUCUCUCUUGGGCAUUGUCUUCUUCCUCACUGGAGCCCUUCUCUAUGUGGUGUGUAAGAGGAGAAGUAAGCAGUCACCGCAGUACUCUCCAGGUAAAGUGGAUCUCUGAAGCCCUCCACUGGGGACCAGAGCCUCCCUGGCAGGAAUCCUGAUCCCAGUGGCUUCCAGAUAGCUGGAAACCACCCCAGGCAGGCAAAGAUGAAGGCUAUCUGCACCAUGGACCAUUUGCAGCGUCAAGAUAUACCUGUGGCAUCAUAUUCAUUCCAACAGUUGGGCUAAGAAUGGAAGCUUGUGAGAGUAGAAAAUGUGAUUUAUCCAUUACCAUAACCAUUUAAUAAACUGGAACAUUCUCUCUGGCACACAGUAGGCACUCUGUAUAUAUCUGUUACUGUUUAACACCAGCCACUGCCCUCUUAGAACUUUCUUUUUGUCUUUACAUUGUGUAAAAUUCUGAAUGUAUAUUAUUUUUACUAAAAAGUAUUUUUCUAA